CAGAGUUUUUAAAUGACGAUCCCCAAGCCUUUGCAUCUAUAGGAAUUAUUGCCCGUCAUUUCAGCAGUUUUGUCACUAGGAUUUAAUUAUUUCAUCAAAUUCUCUGCUGCCGCCAGACUUGGAACAUGCUAAAAAGCAUAACUUCUCUCUUACUUAUCAUUAUUCCCCCCAGACCCUGGCACUUACUGGGGUACUCAGUAUAUGCUUGUUGAGUGGAGGAGUGAGCAGAUAACUAACUGAAAGUAUGUACGUCAACAAAACAAAGAAUGGCACCCUGGGCCAACUGUUGAGAGACCAGACAGCAUCAGGGUUGGAGUGAGGAUAUCAGAGCCCAGCUUUCUUGGUUCACCUACCAGCUCCAUCUCCUGCAUCAAGGAACUUGACAAUGACAUUUCCUAUUUUAUAAUGUUUAUGUGAGCAUUAAAUGAGUCCAUGCCUGUCCAUCUUAAUUGUGCUUUACAAAGUUAAAUUCAAGUCCCCAAAGAUUAUGUAAUUAGCGCAUUAAUAUUUAAAAUUUUUGAUUAAUACAAGAAAUCGGAGUGAGUAUAAUUUGACAUUGACUGAAUAAGAGGAAGCAAAAUAUUUUUAAAUGUGGCUUAUUACUAUGCAUUUGAUAGUCCUGGAAAUUCAAACUAAAUUUACAUUUUAGCUUUAGCAUGAAAUAUUUAAGUGUGCAUUAUUCAAGAUAGUAUGAAGUUUUAAAACAUUUAAACUUUAUGAGAUGAUAGAAUUAACCUUUUCUUCCAAAUUUUAUUUUCUUCCAUUGUUAGAUGAGCAUUCAGUCAGAAAAAUAAUUUAUUAGUGAUUAUCACAGAGGUUGUGGUCCUGCUAGGUGAGCUGUGUUAUUAGAUAUAGGCCAAAAUUUAGACUGUUAUACUGAAAAUGAGUAUUCCCCUAUUGUUCCAUUAAAGACUGUGUAUUUCAAAACCAAUUUAACAUGAAAAUUACCCCACUAGGGGUGCCUGGGUAGCUCAGUCAGUUAAGCCUCUGACUCUUGAUUUCAGCUCAGGUUGUGAUGGCAUGGUUUGCGAGAUUAAGCCCCGCCUGGGACUCUGUGCUCACAGCCUGGAGCUUGCUUGGGAUUCUCUCUCCCUCCCUCUCUGCCCCUCCCCACCCUCUCUCUCAAAAUAAACAAACAUUAAAAAAGAAAAUUAUCCACCAAAUGUGACUUCUUUUCCAAGAAUUCUUUAAUCCCUUUCUGGUCGGGUCCAGUAUUCACAUACACUUCAUUAAAGGCACAGAGGGAAGAAACCUCACAAGGCGUCAUGUAUUUUUGCCGUGUGUUGGCUUGAGCCAUUCCAGAGCAUGAGGGAGUCACCAUGGAGGUUGUCCCUUUAGCCUAACACUUGUCAAAGUGAAUUGAUUAACAGCAAUGAUAGGACUAGCCAUGAUGGUUAUGCAGCUCACCAAAGCUCAAAGAGCAGAGCCUGCCUGGGUCUCAUUUGUUUUUUCCCCUAAGUAUACACAGAACUGCUUUGGGGCCUCAAUUUCAUAUCACGUUGUUUCUCAUGGGAAGAAGCAAGAAUUCCAGAAUGGUAUGAAGUGGAAAGGCUCUGCUUCCGUUUGUUAUGCACCUUGUAAUCUGGUGGGGCAGAACGGCAUGGGUUGAUCACCAUGAGGCAAGCACCUGUUUUCACAGUUUGAUGGAACCUUCUUUCUGAUUCAUUAAAACGUGUGCUAAGAAAGACAACAGUCUCCGAGAAUUAUGUUUUAUUAUGCACAGAUACAAUUUUUAUAGUCUCAUACUAAAACAGAUAUUCCAGAAUACUUUUUAUGUAUACAUACUCCCUGAAGAAUUUAUUACUCUGCUCUUCUCUGAGGUCAGUUAGUGCCCUUCUUACUCUUGUGCCACUGCCACAUUAAGCUGUUGUGCGUUAAGCCUGUUGCCCCUUUAUAAAAUAUCUUGACUGGUAUAUCUGCUCCUUAAAAGAAACAGCUGAAUCCUAGAAUGUGCAUCGGGGCAAGAAAAUUUUAGUAACCCAAAGGUUUGCCAGACACCUUUAGAAGAUGUCCUAGUUUUAGAUAUUCUACAGAUACCUCUCCCCUUUUGUUCUAUAAUUUUUAAGGAUUAGAAGUUCAACUGAUCAUGGUAUCUGGUCUAGGAGAAGUGGAGCCCUCCAGCAUGGCUACCUGGAAAAAUGAAAUUAUUAUAUGGAAUAAAAUAAUGUUACUGUAUUUUUCAGAACACGGGAUUUAUUAUAGAAACGAUUUUCUUUUUAGUUUUUAAAAUUAUAAAAAUACAGUUAUUUUUUUGUUUAUCCCAAAGGAGGGGUGUGUGUGUGUGUGUGUGUGUGUGUGUGUGUGUGUUGUGUGUGUGUGCAUAUAAGUGUUUGUUCUUACAGUUCCCCAAAUACAUUUUAACACAAACUCCUACAUUUCCCCUUUGAUAUUACUAUGCUUAUAGUCCCAAAUAGAAAAGUCGUGUGGUAGGGAGACAGCCAGGAAAAGAGAAGACCUGGUCUGGCCCCAAAUUUACCACGUACUAUUGAUGUGCUUCUGGCUUUUACUUUCCACAUUUUCUAAGCGGAGAUAAUACAGUCCUGAAUUACAAAGUAUGCCUUGUCUGUCUGUCUAGGCUGCUGGGAGAAUGGGAUUGUAGAGAGCCCAGGACAGUGCUUUGCCCACAGAGGCUCUCAGGAGUGGUAUCUGGGAUUAGUUACAUCAUUUACUAUCCUUACAAGCAACACCGGAAGGGGUCAGCAGACCUGGUUAUGGUUAAGACCUUUGCUCCUGGGGAGCCAUUUCACAUCUCAAAGCUGGUUUCCUUACCUCUGAAAUAGAGCACAGCAUCUGCUUGGAUGACUUCAAAUGACUGUUGUGAGGGUUAUAGAAAAUAAUAAUGUGUUAGGUAAGCGUAAACAGUGGUAGUUUUCACACGCUCUGUCUGGUGCUAAGUUCCCACCCCUGAGAGGGAGUCUCAGAGGAGGAGGGGAGUCACCCUGCUCGCAUGUGGGAGGAAUGCUUAAAGACGACUUUUGUUUCAGUAAUGUGAUAAUUAGGGUUCUGGGAGGCUGUGUGGUGCUCUAUUUGCAGGGGGCGGGGUGUGGAACAGGAGAAAGGAUAUGUGGAAAACAGUGUCAGAGAAAUUGAAUCUCAGUGGUGUCUUUCAUUUAACCUUCUCAUUCCUGCUUCUUUAUGUUACUGUUCCCAUAGGAUCCUGAUUAUAGGCUGACGUUUGAACGAGAGUGACAUUACUGAUCAGGGAAAGCUGAGCUUCAUUUAGAUAACAAAAAGUGAUCAAAGCAAUGAGAUGCAAAGAGUUAGAAAUAAGCUUGGCCCAUGGCAGGACAUGUAGGGAUGGUGGCUGAGGAGCUAAGAGAGCUUCUGUUGGAAUUAGAAAUAUGGAGAUGCAGGGAGGGUCCAUGAAAACACCUGAGAAGUUAAAAAUAAGAAGUUGUCCAUGUUCAAUUAGCUUUCUUCUUAAAGAGGUGUGUUUGUAUGUGUGUAAAUUAAGGAAGGAGAAUUUUGGUAGGCUGGACUUAAAAAAAAGGAUUUGUUAGCUUAGAAUAUUCAACUUCAUCUGCCACAUCAGUGAGGAUGGCUUCUGACAUCCCGUGAAAAGUUAAAAUGUGCCUCAAGGAAGAAUUAUAAAACUCUAAAAAAGAUUGUGAUUCAAGGAGCUUCAGAGUCCUAUACAAGUUUAUAUUGUGAUGAGGGUUGGAUGUUGUAUGGAAGUGAUGAAUCACUGAAUUCUACUGAAACUAAUAUACAUUAACUAACUAGAAUUUAAAUAAAAACCUAAAAAGUCGUAUACAAGUUUAUUCACUACUUAUAAAUAUGUCCUUGUCUCUGAUUACCAAUAUGUUUGAUUAAAGAUACUUGUCAUUUAUUCACAUUUAAACACGUGUUGAUGAAGAUUGUAAGCAUAAUGUUGAAAAUUGUAUGCCUGAUGUAAAGUGGGGGGAGAGACAAAUGAUUGAGGAGAAAAGUAGGGUGGAAAAUUACCUUUUGGGAUUUAAGUGACUCAUUAGAAUAAAGGAUAGAAAAGACCUUAAAAGCUAUUUGAAAAAAAUAUGUGUCUCAUUCACUUUUAAAUAUCCAUGUUCUGUUAGUUUCCUCCUUAGUAAAUAGGUGUCUUUCCUUUGCUCUUAGGGAUGAAGAGAAUGAACUGAGAUAUCCAAGUGAUGGCAUUUUUGUUCUUUCAUUUUUCCUUUUAUUGACACUGAUAGAGCAUAUUUUACUGUUUUUCCUGACUAUGGAUUGCCUAAGACUGAACUCGUUUGACUGUCCUUUCCGUCAAAAGAAUUGAGCGAUCCACACUGGUUAGUCUCCAAAUUAUAAAAGAUUCAUCUCAGGAAUCACCCUUGCUAUGACAUCUUCCCAAAUUGGCCUCCUCUGCUCCCAGACCUGAGUAGGGAUUCCUCUCAUUCUUCUUCUCAGGGAUCCCAUACCACUCUGUUGACCCUUCUGUAAGUACCUCUGCAUUUAUUACAACUGAUAUGGUAUUUUCCUCCCCAAAUUUUAUUCUGGAAACUUUCAAACACAGCAAAAUUGCAACACUGGUAUUAUAAAUAUGCAUAUACCAUUCAAGUGGAUUUGCCAAGUAUAUUUAUGUGUUAAUGUACAUUUUUUUUUCCUGAAUCCAGAGGGAAAUAAGUUGCACGUAUCCACUCCUUUUGCUAGUCAGCCCUGACUGAGAUGCUUCUGUCCUUGGAUUAAUUAUACUCAAUAACUUUUUAAGGAUUUAUUUCUUGAUUUGUUCAUUCCCCACAUAUUUAUUAAAUAGCCACUAUGUAACAGACACUGAGGCUGAACCUUGAAGGCUUCAGGGAGUAGAUAGCUUGACUAUAGAAUAUGUAUGUAAUUGAGGAUGGUUAGAUCAUAAGGAGAGGAUAAAAUGUUACCACUGUAAAGGGAGAAAAUAACCCAUAUACCCAGACCUAUGAAAGUACCAUCAUUCGUUGAUUUAUGAUUUGGUCAUUCAGUCACCAACGUUUAGAAUCUGUUCGAUACCAGGUACUUCCAGGGGCUCUGAGACUUCACAGUUGAGGCUUCUUAGCUUUAAAGAUUCAGUCUCACAUACGAGACACAGAAGGUCAUCAGAGCACGUUUUGGAAUAUGUUCAUUGAUGGAGGUCCCCAGGAUACUAUGGAAACAGAGGAGAGAGAAGGCAGGGCAGGCCCCCUGAGUAGUUCCAGUGAUAUUUGGAUAGCAAGCCCAAGGAUGACGGCGUAAACCAGGCAGACAAAAAGAGAUAAAAGCACAUUUGAGAUGAAGCAUUAGUACCUUUCAAGUUAAGCAUUGCAAAAGUAUGGAAUGGCCAAGGAACUGCUAGCAGUUUCGUGUGACUGGAAUGGCAUUUGUUAGCGGGCAGUUACGAAAAAAAGGGAAGGCACAGGGCUGGAAGCUAAGGCCCACAUUGUGAGGGUCUUUGUGAGUUCAACUGAAGAGUUGAAUGUUUACCUAAAAGCUAUGGGAAACCAUUGAAUUGUUCAGGUGGGGUAGUGAUAGCUACUAGAUUUGUGUUUUAGUAAGCCCGGCCUGAAAACAAUAGGGAAAUGGAUAAAUAUUUGUAUUUUUAAGUUGGGGAAGCCAAAUAUUGCUGUAACAGAAGAAUUAACUCAAAGAAUAAAAGUGAUCUAAUGGCAGGGUUGGCUAAUUAUUAUGCAUUUGAUACAUUAACCAAAUUACUGAUACCUCCACCAAUGCCUCUUACCCAAGAACCGACUUUAUUUUCGUUCAGACAUUUUCUCCUAAGAUAACUGACAAGUAAAAUUUUUAAAUGUAGCUCACAAUAAGGAGUUAGUAGUCUCUGCAGCUAAUACUGCUCCCAAGAAGAAGUGAGAGAGACAGAGAAGCAGAAGGAGAAAGAGAGGAGGGGUUGCUCUAAUUAGACACCUGGCUUUGCAGUGUACUGGAUGUGAUUUAAAGCAUUUUAUUUUUUGCUGCAAAACUCUUUCUGUUGAGUAAAUGAGUAGGAAUUAAUCAAUGAAAACAUGACAGUGGUUUUGGAGAUUUUAUAAUUGAUGUAAUGUUUUUGUUUAUUGGGCCAAUUAAGCCUGAUUGACUUGCAGAUUGCAACAGCUCUAACAAAGCACCCACUGCCCACAUUCCAAUUCUCUGUUCCCAGUGCAGUGAGAUCCACUGGCAGGAUUGUGUCAGAGAUGGCAAUGAGAGGGGUCACUGAUGCAGAUGUGUAAAGUCUGUGAUGUAGAUUCAAAAAACUUUCUUAGCCAUAUUACUUUAAAAUAUCACCUUGUGUUUGUCUUCCACUCCUACAGAUAGCAUAGUUCUUACUUUAAGGUUAAUGCCACAAAAGCAUAUGUCAGUUUCUGAAGGGCAUGCUAUUAAAUUGACUUUGAUGUGGAUUAGGGUUGCUCAGCCUCAGCACUAUUGACAUUUUGGACCUCAUAGUUAUUUGUUGUUGGGGGCUGUCCUGUAUAGUAUAGGACGCUCAGCAGCAUCCCUGACCUCUACCCACUAGAUGCCAGGAGCACUUUUUUUCUCAGCCUUUAGUUCUUACAACCAAACUUGUCUCCAGAUGUUGUCAAAUGUCCCCUGGUGAGCAAAAUUACCCCUUCCUCAGAACUAUGGGUUAGACUUUUACGGGUUAAAAUCAAACAAAAAUAGUAGUUCAGUUAACCUUUCCAUGAGCUAAUUGCAUGUAUUCAUUCCUCAAAAAAAAAAAUCUAUGUAUUUAUAUAGAUAUAGAAAAGAUGUAGAUAAUGUUUCUGGUACUUUGCUGAAUGCUCGGAUUUACAAACUAUUUUACAGAAGGAACAGGUAUGAAAUACCUGUGGAAUUGUCUAAAUAUUUGUGAAGUUUUCAUAUUUUUGGUGGAAAGGAAACUGCAUCACAGAAAUGUAUAUCGAAUAAAGUAGGUAAAGUUCCAUGAAAAAUUCCAAUUUUUGCAUAUUAAUAGCAGAAUUAGGACUAACUUUGUAAGAACAUGAUAAAAGAUAGUCCUUUUCAGCCGUGUUUCUAAUAGUGGAACUAUGCAUUUGAUUUAGAAUUUCAUUUGCAUCUAAAAAUUUAAUGUCUUUUUUACUUCUGAUAUGUUAUUACUAGCAUCUGAAGGUAGCAUUGAGAGCUACAGAUUUAAAUAGUAACUGUAACUUAUACAUACCUUACACACCAAAGAGCCCAAUCUUUAUUCAAAAAUGUUAACAACUCAAUUGUUAAUUUUAUAGAUUGAGGCACAAGAUACCAGGAUAAAGGGUGUUGCAGUAAGGAAUUAGUUGGGAUAUAAUAGUAUCAUUAAGUUAAAUAGAAGUGUUAGAACUCUUCCAGCUAAAUUCAUAGAUCAAUAAGUUUCAAAGAGGAGUAGGAUAACGGUGGUAGAUAAAGGAAUAAGCCCAAUGAAAUUAAUUUCUGUCUUAGCCCAGUAUUAAACUAGCAUUUUUUUUUCAAUAAGGUUUUACCAAACGUUGACUAUACGUCAGACAUUGUGGUGACCGGCCAUGUGCUUCCACUUACGCGAUUUUAUUUGUUCUGUAAACAGCCCACUGAGGCAGGUAUUGAUAGUUCAGCUUUCCAGAACACUAAACGUUACAUGCUUAAGUACAUGUCAUGUAAUUGGUUAAUUUCAGCACCAGAGAUUGGGCCUAAAUGUUACCAUCCUUUCUUCACUGUAUCUAUUCACCAAGCCACCUGCAAGGUAGCUGGUAGUUUGUAAUGCAGAACACAUACGUCAAGUCUUGCCCUUUUGUGGAUAAUAGUCCUCAGCAGAUCACUCUCACACUUCAUUCUUUUUCAUGCUUUUUUUCUCCCAUAAUCGAGAAUGAGAUCCAUCAUUCACGCAGCUGAUAGCCCCAGGGAACAUAACCUGUGUUGAUACAGUAGCCAUGUUCCAUCAAAAUCGUUCUGUAAAGAAAAUAUCUGUCAGGUGAAUUUUUUGCUCCCACAGUACAUUAUAAAUUCAAGAUGCCCCUAUUCUUCACACAGAACUUCUGGAAUAGAGUUGCUUCUUUCUGUGGUUUGAUCAAAGUUAUGUAAUUGAUAGAGACAAUAAUACCAUCCUUGUUUAGUAGUGCCUGCAUCUUUUAUAUUUAAAAUGCCUUAAGACAAGAGACAUCUGUGUACAAUGUAACUAUAGUGUGACUUACAAUAACUUUGUGUUUUUGUUAUCUCAGCAAGAGAUCACUUGCCGGGGGACAAUGCAUUCUUUGUGAUUUCUAGUAAAACACUGUUUUUACAUGUCCAGCAUAUGUACAGCAUGGCGGAGGUCAGGAAGGAUAAAUUCAUUACAUGCCAGCCAUCCCUCCAGAAAUCCACCUCGCGUCAGAGUUGAUGUGGAAGCUGAAACCCGUCUGACAUCCCAGAUGAUGUAGUAAUCAGAUAAGUCCCCUGAACUGUAAAACGGAAGCUUUAACUGCAGUAUAUAUUUAUGGCCUAAAUUGACCACUUAGCGACCAGAUUUAAUUUGAAAGUAAAAAUCUAAAUAUCUUAAACAUUUUAUUUGGAACAUAUUUAUAACUUCAGACUCUUUUCCAAACCCGAUCCUGCCAACAUGAUUUAGCUUCUCAUAAAAUAUUUUAAAGUAUUCAGGUUUUGACGGAAACCUCCAACCUGGAAAAAAAAAAAAAAAGAAGUCAGGCCUCGUGAGAGAUUGCAGACGAGUAGACAGUAGACCUGUUAUUACAAAGGUGCAAUGAAUCCAAUUUGUUAUUUUUUGACUUGUCCUGCCUUUGGCUAGGCGUAACCACUUUUGAGGUUUAAAGAAAGGUCCAGGAUAGGACCUUGGUUACAAAUGUACUAGAAGCUCCUCGGGAGUGGACUGCUUUGCCUGAAUGCUGCAGUGUUUUCUGUCACACUGAGGUUAGCCUUUUAUAACUGGUGAUUCUUUUGGGAAGUUCUUCAGAGGAUAGCAGUCACUUACCGUAUGCACCGCCACACAUAGGAUGGUGGCAGGUGGCUUAGGUAGCAAGCACUUAAGUAUGUUCGAAAUUUGGAAUACCUGGGUGUCAUAUCACCAGUGAUCUUAAAACCUAUCAAAUAUGUGUUGAAAUAAAUUUUCUAAAGAGUAAUCCCAAAAGUGUGUUGUUUAGCAGGGUGUAAGUUUUGAAAUGGAAAUGUAUAUGUAGCCUAAAUAAUUUUCUGUUACUUUUUAUAGUUCUGAAGUCUCUUUUGUUACUUGAUUAGCUAAGCGAAAGUAGCACAUGACUUAACUCUUCAGGUCCCAGCAAACAAAGAGAUAAAAUGGUUGAAUGUUCGCGGUUCCCACCUUGCUUCACUACGAGGCAAGAUAGCUCGCACAUUAAUAUUGUCAUCUUUUGUUCUCUGUGUGAAGUCGUAAAGCCUUUUUCAAAUUUUGAGAUCUCAAAUCGGAUGGAUGUAACUGAACCUUUCAGCUCAGUUUAUCUUCCCUAAUAUGGAGAUUGCCAAAAAGAUGUAUUAGAGUUUAUGUUGGCGAUGUUAGGUAAUUUUUUUCUUUUAAAUACAGCUUCUGAAAAUAAAAUUAAGAAGCUUUUGCUUAAUUUUACUUUGUCUUAAUAGCAGUUUCUUAACAAUUGAUAUAGCCUUGAGUUUGGUGUAACAGGGCAACAGGACUAAAUUAUUUUAAUUAUGCAAUUCUGUUAAACACCUUUUACAAGGCUGAAAGUCUAUGUGUUUUAUUUUUCCCCCUGAAAGUUCCAAGAUAGUUUCAAGGGACUUUCUCUCUUCAGAGAUAUUCUGUCAGCUUAAGAGAUACCUCUCUUAUAUAUACACAUACACAUAUAAAUCUUUGUGUAUGUGUGUAUAUAUAUAGUAGUGGGUAGGGAGAGGGAAGAUAAAUUUUUAGACUCGGAGAUAUAAAGGAAUCUUUCAAAAGCUCAAACAAGGCAGCCUGUGUCAAGACCGACAUGUCGAGGAAUGCUAAGUUUGCUAUAACCUAGGAGGACAGCAAGAAUGACCUUCCAUGAGCCUUCAUUCUUGAUCUACAAAAUUAGGUGGUUGGCCAAACACUGUUUCUAAACUCUCUUCCAUCUCAGGUGCCUGGGUGGCUCAGAAGGUUAAGCGUUGGUUCUUGGUUUCAGCUCAGGUCAUGAUUUCACAGUUUGUGAGUUCGAGCCCAGCAUCGGGGUUCUGCACUGACAGUUGUGGAGCCUGCUUGGGAUUCUCCCUCUCUCUGCCCUCCCCUGCUCAUGCUCGCUCUCUCUCUC